UGGGGAAUUUUGGACAAUGGGCGAAAGCCUGAUCCAGCAAUGCCGCGUGUGUGAAGAAGGCCUUCGGGUUGUAAAGCACUUUUGUCCGGAAAGAAAUCCUUGGCUCUAAUACAGUCGGGGGAUGACGGUACCGGAAGAAUAAGCACCGGCUAACUACGUGCCAGCAGCCGCGGUAAUACGUAGGGUGCAAGCGUUAAUCGGAAUUACUGGGCGUAAAGCGUGCGCAGGCGGUUUGCUAAGACCGAUGUGAAAUCCCGGGCUCAACCUGGGAACUGCAUUGGUGACUGGCAGGCUAGAGUAUGGCAGAGGGGGGUAGAAUUCCACGUGUAGCAGUGAAAUGCGUAGAGAUGUGGAGGAAUACCGAUGGCGAAGGCAGCCCCCUGGGCCAAUACUGACGCUCAUGCACGAAAGCGUGGGGAGCAAACAGGAUUAGAUACCCUGGUAGUCCACGCCCUAAACGAUGUCAACUAGUUGUUGGGGACUUCAUUUCCUUAGUAACGUAGCUAACGCGUGAAGUUGACCACCUGGGGAGUACGGUCGCAAGAUUAAAACUCAAAUGAAUUGACGGGGUC
rnacentral:rRNA from 1 species